rnacentral:tRNA from 1 species
GGAGAGAUGCCAGAGCGGUCGAAUGGGGCGGUCUCGAAAACCGUUGUGCCCUUUAGGGUACCGAGGGUUCGAAUCCCUCUCUCUCCGCCA